rnacentral:rRNA from 1 species
CGGACGGGUGAGUAACACGUGGAUAACUUACCUAUAAGACUGGGAUAACUUCGGGAAACCGGAGCUAAUACCGGAUAAUAUAUUGAACCGCAUGGUUCAAUAGUGAAAGACGGUUUUGCUGUCACUUAUAGAUGGAUCCGCGCCGCAUUAGCUAGUUGGUAAGGUAGCGGCUUACCAAGGCAACGAUGCGUAGCCGACCUGAGAGGGUGAUCGGCCACACUGGAACUGAGACACGGUCCAGACUCCUACGGGAGGCAGCAGAA